CAUGCAGGCGGUUACAUAAGUCAGAUGUGAAAUCCCCGCGCUUAACGGGGGCAUUUCAUUUUAAACUAUGUAGCUAGAGUUCUGUAGAGGGGGGUAGAAUUCCGGGUGUAGCGGUGAAAUGCGUAGAGAUCUGGAGGAAUACCGAUUGCGAAGGCAGCCCCCUGGACAGUGACUGACGCUCAUAUGCGAAAGCGUGGGGAUCAAACAGGAUUAGAUACCCUGGUA
rnacentral:rRNA from 1 species